rnacentral:snRNA from 1 species
GUGCUCACUUCAGAAGCACAUUUACUAAAAUUAGAACAGUACAGAGGAGAUUAGCAUGGUCCCUGCAUAAGAAUGACAUGCAAAUUCCUGAACUAUCACAUAUUUUU